UCAAUAGCCUAACGGCUGAACCAGCAACUUGGAGGAAUGUAUAGCUACGGCUAAUUGUGUAUAAUUACACGAUAUCGACUCUGUCGAAUAAAAUUCUGGGUAAAUUUUGAUGAUGACAUUUUUUACCUAUGUGUCUUGACCAAAUUGUGUGCCAGCAGUCGCGGUAAUACAUAGAAGACUAGUGUUAUUCAUCUUUAAUAGGUUUAAAGGGUACCUAGACGGUAGAUCAAGCCCUAGACGGGACUAAUUUGCUAGAGUUACUUAUGAGGGGGCUUUAAAGUACUAAUGGUGUAGAGAUAAAAUUUUGUAAUACCAUUUUUCGUAAAGAAAAAUUAUGGCACUGGUAAAGGUGAAAGCAUCCCCCUAUGUGAUAACUGACGUUGAAGGACGAAGGCUUUGGGUCGCGAAUAGGAUUAGAUACCCUAGUAGUCAAAGCAGAAAAUUAUGAGUGUCAUAGAUUAGAUAAUACAGUUUAUUCUAUAAAUGAAAGUGUAAGCACUCCACCUCAAGAGUAAUUUGGCAACAUUGGAACUGAAAUCAUUAGACCGUUUCUGAAACCAGUAGUGAAGUAUGUUGUUUAAUUCGAUGAUCCGCGAAAAACCUUACCACAAUUUGAAUAUGUAUAUUUUUUGAUAUAUUUACAAGCGUUGCACGGCUGUCUUCAGUUAAUGUCGUGAGACUUUGGUUAGAUCCAUUAAAUUAACGUAAGCCCUUACUUUAUUUUCAUAUAAAGUAGUUCUCCACCAUAUUGGACAAGAUAACAGGGACUAAGACAAGUCAUCAUGGCCUGAAUAUUGUGGG
rnacentral:rRNA from 1 species